rnacentral:rRNA from 1 species
CUUUCUUUGCUGGCGACCGGCGCACGGGUGAGUAACACGUAUCCAACCUGCCCUUUACUCGGGGAUAGCUUUCGAAAGAAAGAUUAAUACCCGAUAGUAUAAUGAUUCCGCAUGGUUUCAUUAUUAAAGGAUUCCGGUAAAGGAUGGGGAUGCGUUCCAUUAGGUUGUUGGUGAGGUAACGGCUCACCAAGCCUUCGAUGGAUAGGGGUUCUGAGAGGAAGGUCCCCCACAUUGGAACUGAGACACGGUCCAA